GAUAGUGCACCGCACACUUGACGCGAGCUAUCAUUGCACCGCGUUCUGAUAUGGCUGCAUUGCCAGGCCCAAAAACGAGUUUUACGGCAACAACAGCAACCAGGUUGACGUUGACCCACAUAGAACAUGUGCAUCACAUACGUAUAUAAGAAUAUUAAUAUAGAGACGACUAUCGUCUGUGGCAUUAGCAUAGAGCUGGUCAGUUUUCAAUUGCGUUCGUUAUGGAUUGUGAUUAAGACUGAGACAACAAGUUAGAUAUUUGUAUUCCUAUCAGAAAUGCCAAGUGAAGUCGUCUGAUAUUGCACAGAUUUGAGUCACUGGUAAUUUGUUGCAAAAACUGCUUCACUUGCCCAAAACGCAUUUUCGAAUUAAACAUACUGGCUCUGCAAAACUUGGAAUCGAUAUGGAUGCAAAAAAGACAAACAUUGCCCCGCAAAAGCCUUGAAUAUUUAUGUUACCAGGAAUUUUUGUUUGUCUGUUGCGUACAAGAAUUCAGUGGUGAGUACUCUUUGAUUCUUUAUAUAUAAUUAAAUUUCGUAAUAUUUGUACGAUCAUCUAACUUUAGAAGAACUCAUUCUACAAAAUAAACCACUUCUACGGCAACAACCAAAAUAUCGAAUAGUAAGAUCUCCGAUCAGGCAACACCUGCAGAAGGCAAAGAAAUGCGUUCGAAGACCGCCUCCUUUCACAGCUCCUAAAAAGUAUUCUAAAAGUAUUAAAUACUGUGGCCUAAAGGACCUUUCCUCAGGCAGUGUACAAAUUCUACUUGUCCCCUGGAAUUCCAGGACCAGGAUGGCCAUGACAGCAGUAGAAAAUGCAAACCAUCGCUGCGCGGUGAUCAAUCGAGAUCUCCAGACUCUGUUCUUGUUGUCGUUGCAUUUCCAGAAUACUAGACAUGGACUCGUUGUCGCACUACCCAAGAUGGUGGUGAAGUCAAAACUUUCAGGGCGCUGUAUAAGGGGGGAUAAUAAGCCUAGUUGCUGAAAUGUUUUGCCGACCCGUUGGUGGCCUGCCUCAACGAGCAGACCUCUACCGCAUCUCAUCAGUUUAAAAAGCUCUUCCUUACGUCGCACAAUACUUUUUAUUGGACCUGAAAGAUGCAAUAUGUUCAUAAAAAUUGAGUAAAUAGCUGCUUACUGAAAAAAUGGUCAACUUUGAAUGCUCAUUUCUCUUAAAAUAGACAUCCGAUAUUCUCGAAGUUUCCAUUUUUAGAAGUUCUAGAAAGUUCUCUACCAGGUGCGUGUAUAUAAGGUAUCCAAAGUUCCCCUUUUUUUGGAUCUUCAGUCCCAGUACUUCCAGCGCUCUGUGGCUUCCGGCCCGGCCCACUGUGCUCUCGGACUGCCGGUUUCUAUACAGUAUAUCUAUACUUCAACCAGACCUCCGAUGCCAAUUAGUUCAAGGUGAUCUUCGCUAUCCCAGUGCUAAGCAGAGUGUCAUACUCAAUGUGAAUUCGAUCAGGUCUCAGUCGCAGUUCCACGUAAAAGUCGUAAACCGAGUCAAAGCCAUGGGAAAUGGCCACUGGAGGUGCAAUGCUCAGUUCUGGGUGUUCUUCCCAGAAUUCUUCAUCGUAGCUCCGAUGCCAAUUAGACCAAGGCGAUCAUUGUUAGCAAGCAUAGUGUCGUACUCGAUCUGAAUUCGAUCCAUGCUGAUUAAUGAAAAGCGGUUGACACGAAAUCUGCCAAAGCUUUGGAAAAUAAAGCAGGCUGGAGCUUCUAAUUUCCUUCGCGAUGCAGUGAAGGUGAAGGUUAAUUUGCAUUCACCUUGAGCAGAGAAGUGGCAUAUGAUCAGUCCAUGGAGAAGGUUCAGGAAACAAACGGGCGGACAAGAAUUAACCCACUCCCGGGUCAAGUCGCAACUGCAUAGUAAAACCAUUGGGUACAAAUAUUCGAAAAAGCCAAUUGAAUGGCGAAUAGCCAUAGUGAUUACUUGACAAAACACCAACGAAGGCCGUGGAAUAGCUAGGUCGGGCUGAACCGAACCCGUACCGGUCCAGGUCAAGGUCGAGUUGGACUGAGGCUUGAAACUCUGGUGUGGGCCAAAGGCGGCACGUCGACGUCAGUGCAGGGUGGGCAAUGCCCCAACCCGAAAAAAACGAUCCAAGUGUAUAUACAAGGCAGUCCCUGUCGUGGUUACCCCAACGGAUUGCGCACUCGGACGUGCCCGCCUAGCCGACAGGUGAGGGCCCUAUCCAUAUCCAUCAGCAGACAACCGGCUGUGGGUGGUUCACCCUUAGAUUAGAUCACCCUGAACCGCUUGCUAAACCGCAAGUUUCGGCAUAAUUGAAUGCAGCUGCCAGAACUUGGCCAAUCUGAUUGCCAAAUAAUACGACUGUCAGCGGAGCUCGCCCAACCUUGGCAUGCGAGCACAAGUGCUGAGGACGGCACAAUCCAAAAACAAGCCGAAAAUUGCAAGCUCAUGAUACACUCUCUGG